UGAACGCUGGCGGCGUGCCUAAUACAUGCAAGUCGCGCGACCAGACGCGGAGCUUGCUCCUCUGACGUUAGCGGCGGACGGGUGAGUAACACGUGGAUAACCUACCUAUAAGACUGGGAUAACUUCGGGAAACCGGAGCUAAUACCGGAUAAUAUAUUGAACCGCAUGGUUCAAUAGUGAAAGACGGUUUUGCUGUCACUUAUAGAUGGAUCCGCGCCGCAUUAGCUAGUUGGUAAGGUAACGGCUUACCAAGGCAACGAUGCGUAGCCGACCUGAGAGGGUGAUCGGCCACACUGGAACUGAGACACGGUCCAGACUCCUACGGGAGGCAGCAGUAGGGAAUCUUCCGCAAUGGGCGAAAGCCUGACGGAGCAACGCCGCGUGAGUGAUGAAGGUCUACGGAUCGUAAAACUCUGUUAUUAGGGAAGAACAAAUGUGUAAGUAACUAUGCACGUCUUGACGGUACCUAAUCAGAAAGCCACGGCUAACUACGUG
rnacentral:rRNA from 1 species